AUGAAGCUGUUUCAAAAAGAGCAACAGUCACUGAUUGCAUCCCAAGGUCUACAUUUGGAUGGAGAUGAUUUAGCAGGGCUGGAUCACAAAAAUAUUAUGCCACUGAAGGACGCAGGAGAAAGUUUUGUGAAACAAGUGUUUAUCACUGUAAGCCCAAAGUUGUGUUCAGCCAUAAAAAACCACAUUUCUGGACUUAAAAGAUUUGGCACUGGUGAUGUCUCUGACCAGUCUAGCAUUCUUCACAUGCAUGACAUCAUGGAUGACCUGGAAGAGUUUACAGAAAUUCCUGACAAUUUUUGUGAUCUACCUCAUGAGCACUAUCCUCUUACUAUAACAUAUUGUAAGUUUUUGAUGAUGCUUGAUGGAACAUGCCGGACAUCAUUUUUCGAUGCGUUUUAUGGUGAAAUGAAGACAAGCUUUGAGAGAGGCCACUCAAGAUCGCGUGCGGUGCAAACUUUUAUUGAAUUGAAGGAAGUUACCUAUGAAAAAUUUGCUACUUUCUACUGGCCUCGUUUUAAGGCAGACCUAACAAAGAAAUUUGCUGCAUCUACUGUCUUCACUGAAAUAAUUUCUCAUAUAAAGGGUGCAUAUCAAACAAGCAGGCCUUAUGCUGGCAAACUGGGAAGAGAGGAUUAUGUGAUGCUUUCAGAUAAAAGAUUUUCAUCUUUGAACAAUGAGAAGAGAGAUAGAAUUUAUGAUAUAUUCCUUGAAUAUGAGAGUAUGAAAGGCACUGCCAAGGAGUUUGAUUUGUCAGAUUUCGUCAAUAGUCUUCACAGCAGUCUUGUAUCUGAGGGCUACCACGGCGAUAUGGUGGAUUUUGUUUACAUAGAUGAGGUACAGGAUCUCACCAUGACACAAAUAGCACUUCUUAAGUAUGUCUGUAUGAACAUCAAGGAAGGCUUCCUUUUUGCUGGUGAUACUGCACAGACUAUAGCAAGGGGUAUCGAUUUCAGGUUUGAAGAUAUCCGUUCACUGUUUUAUACUGCAUUCCUCGCAGAAACUGAAGCAUCUAAUCAAGGACUUAAACAUGGGAAAAAAGUCCAUCUCUCUGAUAUGUUCCAACUGUCUCAGAAUUUCCGCACACAUUGUGGCAUCCUCCGUAUGGCACAAAGUAUCAUGAGCCUUCUGUACUUCUUUUUCCCGUCAAGUGUUGACAAGCUCAAUCCAGAGACUGGACUUGUAUAUGGAGAAGCUCCUGUGCUGCUGGAGUCUGAUAACGAUGAAAAUGCAAUUAUGACUAUUUUUGGAGAAAGCAAAACUACACAUGGUAACCUGCAUGGGUUUGGUGCUGAGCAAGUCAUAUUAGUUCGUGAUGAUGCUGCCAAAAAACAAAUUAUUGAUCUUGUUGGUAAACAAGCUCUUGUUUUGACUAUUGUUGAAUGUAAGGGCCUUGAGUUUCAGGAUGUGCUGUUGUACAACUUUUUUGGUUCGUCGCCUUUAAGAAACAAAUGGAGAGUUCUCUAUGGCUACAUGAAAGAUAAAGAUAUUAUAGCACACUCCGAGGAGAUCUCUCAUCCCGGUUUCGACAGAAGCAAGCAUUAUCUUCUCUGUUCAGAGCUGAAGCAACUAUAUGUUGCAAUCACACGCACUAGGCAAAGACUCUGGAUAUGUGAAAAUACAGAGAAUUACUGUCGACCAAUGUUUGACUACUGGAAGAAGUUGUGCCUUGUAGAAGUUAGAUUAUUAGAUUCUUCCCUCAUUCAGGCAAUGCAGACAGGGAGCAGCAGUGAUGAUUGGAGGAUACAGGGAACCAAGUUAUUCAAUGAGGGGCAAUUCGAGAUGGCUACUAUGUGCUUCGAAAAGGCCGGUGAUGCACACAGAGAGAAGUUGGCAAGAGCUGCUGGACUUGUAGCGACUGCUAACCGUGUCAUCUCAACAAAUUUGGAGUUGGGCAAGGCUUCGUUGCAAACAGCAUCAGAGAUUUACGAGUCCAUAGGCAUGCAUGAGAAAGCUGCUAUAUGCUAUAUCAAAUUAGGUGACUACAAAAAAGCAGGUAUGGUCUAUAUGCAAAAAUGUGGUACUUCUAAACUUGAGGAUGCUGGUGAUUGUUUUGCUAUGGCUGAAUGCUGGUCGGAGGCAGCUGAAGUGUUCUUGAAAGCUAAAUGUUACACAAAGUGUUUCUCCAUGUGCUCGAAAGGGAAAAAUUUGUUCAAUCUGGGCUUGCAGUUUCUGCAACAGUUAGAAGAGGAACAUUCGCUUGAGAAUUCAAAAUCCUUGGCGGUUUCUGCAAUUAGAACAAACUAUCUGGAUAAUUGUGCUCAACAUUAUUUUGAGCGUGGUGACAUAAAGCAGAUGAUGCCUUUUGUUAAAGCUUUCAGCUCUAUGGAUCAUGUACGGGCAUUCCUAAAUUCUAGGAAUCUUGUUGAUGAACUGUGGAGUUUGGAGAUGGAGAUGGGUAAUUUCCUAGAAGCUGCAGGAAUAGCAAAGCAUAAUGGAGAUGUCUUACUGGAGGUAGACAUGCUCGAGAAGGCAGGCUUAUUUGAGGAUGCGACACGGCUUCUCCUCCUCCAUAUCAUUGUGGAUUCCUUCUGGUCCUCAAAUAGCAGAGGGUGGCCUCCCAAAAGAUAUGCAGAGAAGGAACAAUUGCUUUCAAGAGCCAAAGAGAUGGCGGAAAAGGUAUCUGAGUGCUUCUACUGCUUUGUUUGCGUGGAAGCUGAUGCACUGUCAGAUGUGAAUAAGUCUCUUCCCAGUUUAAAUUGCACUUUGGUUGAGGGCAGAAAAUGUGCAAACUUGUUAGUUGAACUUGUUGCUUCCCGUUCGAUUCUUGAUGUUCAUCUUCAGUCUCGAGCCUCUGGAUACAAUAUAGAAUUAGGGCCAGGAUCUGAAGAUGAAAAUGGUUGUAGUAACAUGCUUGCAUCUAACCAGAUGUCACCCCAAACUCUGUUUUAUGUCUGGAAUCACUGGAAGUCGAUCAUAAUCAAAGUACUAUCUCAUCUUCGCCACACCGAUGGUCCAGAAUUAAAUGAUUAUGCAGUUAUGUAUGAAGAUCUUUGUGCCAAGUACUUUGGAUUGCGGAAGGAUGGUGAAGUUGACAGAUAUGUGGUGCUUAACGUGAAUGCAAGUUGGCUCUCUACUACUGGCAGAAAUUCUUUGCAGCAAGAUGGCAACAGAUGUUUCUUGGGUGCCCUACAGUGUCAUUCAUGUGCUCAGUGUUUCUGGAUGAAUGAGCUGUCUUCUGUUGGUUUCAGUGUACUUAAGAAGUUGGAGUCCAUUGUUCAAAUUUCUCCAAAGCCAUCAUCUUCUUAUACCCUGGUGAGAACUAUCCUUAUGAUAAAUGAGAUAGCAAAGUUUUUGGAAGAACCACAGUUCAGUAUGCCAAAAAACACGAAGUUAAGAAGCUUUUUUAUUCUCUGUGAGCGUCGUUUCUUUGAGUUAGUUUUUCUUGUGUGGAGAGACGGGACAAGAAGGAGCCUCUUGCAUCUACUUGACUCACCAGCUGCAUAUGGAUUGAUUGCUGAUUCUCUUAGUGCAAAUCUACGCCCAGCAAAUAAAAAUUUGACUCAUGGGCAUCUUGGGAGAACAACCAUGCUCCUGCUUCACGCAGCACAAUUGGACGAAGAGCUACUUUCAAGACUACUGCAGUACCUGGACAAUAAUUCUGAGUGGGCAGAAUUUUUUCGAUAUUUCAAGAGAUUUCUUGACAGCGGUGGUGAUAGAUCCUCCUUGAUCUUGAACUUUAAGCUUGCUUUUGACUUUACCUUCAAUGUAAAGUGGAAGGAUGAACUAGACUACAUAUCCCCAAUAUGCUAUGUGGGUCUUAUGGAAUGCCUUGGUUUUAUGGCUUCAUCAUACUUGAUACAGAAUGAUUUUAUAUGCUGCACGAAAUCUCUGCUGGUCAAUAUGCUGGAGUGCCAUACCAGCAAGGCUUACAUUGACACCUGCCUGGUAUCUAAAUCGAGCCCAGAUUCAGAUCUUGAUCGUUUGGCAUACUCAUCAGGCCGUUUCAUAUAUCAGACAAUUAUGACUAUCUUGACGACCAAGCAUAUGCUCCAGGAAUGGGUACAUAAGACUUCAAGUCCUAGUACUUCAUACAAACCAGUCCUCCUGAGACUAGUUGUUACACUUUAUCCUCUGAUCCUUACUCUUUCUCUGGGGAAUUUCUAUGAGGUCACACAUAACCUUCUGAGGAAUGAAGUGUUUAAGGAUUUACCUGUGGAGUUCUCUCAGAAGAUUGUACAUGCUUUGCAAAUGAAGUCCCGCACACCGAGCAACUUCACAAGAAUGCUUGCUGAUGCACUCGCCGCAAUCAGAGAUAAUAUGGUAGUUAUUGGUUCACCCAAGGGCCCAGUAAUCUGUCGAAACUUAAAUGCUUAUAUGAUUAGCAAAGAGGAUUUGCAUGAUGUUCCGAAGAUAAUGGCUCUUCUGUGUCCUGAAGAACGAAGUUCUGUACAAGAGACUCUGUUGCCUGAAAAAUCUGAUGGUGAUAAGUCUGGCGAUGUUAUUUCUGGAAACAUUCCUAAGGCUGUACAAGAUAAUGAGAUGGAGCAUAGGAGUAAGAUAGAUAUUGUUGAGAUACUCUUUGAGAAGCUUGAGAUUUUAAAAGCCGACAAGGAUGGCCUGAAAGAUCCAAGGCGUGUUAUUGAAUACCUUAUAAGUGCCCUUCCAUGGCUGGAAGGUGGCCGUCUAGCAGCGAUUGAUAAACGAUUGCUGGAAGACGUCAGGCGCAUCUGCAGUGAGUUCGAAAAUGGUUCCGACAGGGCGCAGAGAAAUGCUUGUCUUGCUGUGGAGAAGCUGUGGAAGGGUGAGAAGAAACUGCCGAUGAUCUUCCGCAUGGUGACUGAUGCAAGGCUAUGCAAGAUUGAAAAUCAAGCGACAUUCCAACGCAUGGAUGACAGGAGCAACGACGCUGCAAUGGCUGCUGUAGAGACGCACGCUGACGCCGACGGUUGCUCAGAUGACGAUGAUAAACCUGACACGGGAGAAGCUGCGGCCUCGACUUCCAAAAAGGGGGCGCAGAAGCAGAAGAGCAAGAAGAAAUCCAAGAAGUCCAAGGGCCGGGGCAAGAAGUGA
rnacentral:rRNA from 1 species